UCCCUGUUGGCUCAGUGGUAGAGUAUGCCUGCAAUGCAGAAGACGCAGGUUCAAUCCCUGGGUAAGGAA
rnacentral:tRNA from 1 species